rnacentral:rRNA from 1 species
CCUACGGGCUGCAGCAGUGAGGAAUAUUGGUCAAUGGCCGUAAGGCUGAACCAGCCAAGUCGCGUGAAGGAAGCAGGAUCUAUGGUUUGUAAACUUCUUUUAUAGGGGAAUAAAGGUAUCCACGUGUGGAUAUUUGCAUGUACCCUAUGAAUAAGCAUCGGCUAACUCCGUGCCAGCAGCCGCGGUAAUACGGAGGAUGCGAGCUUUAUCCGGAUUUAUUGGGUUUAAAGGGUGCGUAGGUUGUUUUUUAAGUCAGCGGGGAAAGUUUGUGGCUCAACCAUAAAAUUGCCGUUGAAACUGGAAGACUUGAGUGUGUUUGAGGUAGGCGGAAUGCGUGGUGUAGCGGUGAAAUGCAUAGAUAUCACGCAGAACUCCGAUUGCGAAGGCAGCUUACUAAGCCAUAACUGACACUGAAGCACGAAAGCGUGGGGAUCAAACAGGAUUAGAUACCCGAGUAGUC